rnacentral:rRNA from 1 species
UUAAAUUGAAGAGUUUGAUCAUGGCUCAGAUUGAACGCUGGCGGCAGGCCUAACACAUGCAAGUCGAACGGUAGCACAGAUAGCU